rnacentral:lncRNA from 1 species
GCCCCGGCCCGCCUCUCAGGCCCUGGUGUAUGUGAGCUGUGGGACGCCCUUGUCCCCAGCCUCUUUUGGGCACUGACUCCCUUCCUUCCAGCACAAGCCCACGGGCCCAUCCCCUGACCCUUCACCCGCUGCCCACCUCCUCCGCGUGCACCCAGACUCCCGCCCGCGAGAUGGGUAACAGGUUCACAUGGAGCCGGUCUAGACUGCAGGCCGCUGUGUGCACCCAGAGAGUGCCUGCCCUCAGCCCACUUCCGUCCAAGCAGGUGCGGGGCUCGUGGGCUCUCCGACCCCUGGGGGACGCCGCUGCUCCUGCUGUCGGCCCCAGGUUCGCACAGGGGGGCGGGGGCAGCACCCCCCCCACACACACACACCUCUUCAGGCCCUGACGUCAGGUUCACAGACAGUGACAGUUUCUCGCCUGAGGUCAUCUCUGUUUCUGGCCCUUGUAGCUGCAGACCUAGUCAUUUUUGGCAUUUUUUUGGUGGUUGUUUUUUUGUCUUGCUUUUUUAGGGCCGCACCUGCAGCAUAUGGAAAUGUGGAAGUUGCCAGGCUAGGGGCCGAAUCGGAGCUACAGCUGCCAGCUUGCCCCUGUCCACUCGUGCGGGGUGGGCGCCCUGCGGCCCGUCUCAGCCUCUCAGACCUGCGCUCAGGAGGGCAGCUCUGCCCGUGGCUGGGCGUGAGGCGCGGUCCAGCGAGUGCCUCGUGCUGAGGAAACGAUGGUCGGCCGCCCAGACGCAACACGUCUCUUCCCGUCUGCUCACCGCUUCUGAGCCUCUGCGUCCAGGAUUCCAGCGCCUUCUGAACCUGCCGAGGCUUCCCCUGAUGUUCCCGCCUGAGCACCCCCACGCCCCCAGAGUGAUUUCCGUGGGGCCCUCGUGGGCGUCCCUUUAACGGGCCAGUUGCAGGCUGCGAAAUUCGAACACUUUGAUGAAAUGGAAACGUUGCUAGACAAUGACUGGUUCGAGUAAACGCCCAAAGGAAUCGAGCGGAGCAGGUUCCCGCGGAUUCCCGCUGCGGCUCAGAGGAAACGAACCCGACGAGCACCCACGAGGACGCAGGUUCCACCUCUGGCCUCGCCCGGUGGGUCGAGGAUCCCGCGUUGCUGUGGCCGGGGCGCAGGUUGGCGGCUGCAACGCCGAUUUGACCCCUAGCCUGGGGACCUCCCUAUGCUGCAAGUGUGGCCCUAAAAAGACCAAAAGGAAAAACAAACAAACAAAAAGCCUUCAUGGCAACAUCGAGACUGGUGUUUGACCAACUCGCUGGGCACCAAGGCCUGACCGAGUUGACACGAAAUGAGCCAUCACACUGGAUAAAUGUGUGCUCAUCGUAUAAUUCUUUCUGCUUCUUUUCUGUAUUAAUGUUUUCAUUAAAAGGUAGGAGGCAAAGGAUAUUUGUUCACCAAAAGUCACAGUAAAGAAAGUGAAAGUCAAG